rnacentral:rRNA from 1 species
AAGAAUUUAAAGGUCGAACAGACCUAAUAAUUGAACAUCUACACCCAAUAUUUAUCUUAAUCCAACAUCGAGGUCACAAUCUUUUUUUUCGAUAAGAACUCUUAAAAAAAAUUAUG